GGAACAAUGGCAGGUGGUUAAUGCUUUUAAGCUUCCGAUUUAUUAUACUAAGGUUCGAAUCCUUAUUGUUCCU
rnacentral:tRNA from 1 species